UAUACGUCUACAAGAAUUACAAAGCAGGCAGUUUCUCUAUUGAAAAUGAGCCAAAAACCACAGGCGGAAAUGCAGUGUUCUAGGCUGCACUGAGAAACGCCAAAUUUUUCACAGCCUUCCCAAGGAUCCAAAGACAUGACAGGCAUGGAAUAUUUUUGUGUAUUUGAAGAUCCCUGCAAAGUUUGAUGCUCAGCUGUUAAUUUUCUCUAAGCAUUUUACUGAAGAAAAAUUUCAAAAUCUUCGACAGUUCAAAGCAGGAUUUGCUAAACUUCUUUUACUGAAACGAGGGUCUGUUCCGACUGUAAGGCCAUCGCAACCACAAGCUUUGAUCCUGUGAUGGAUGAGUGACCUGUCUAGAGUGCGCCGAACCUCAUGAACCGUGAACUCCAGUGACUAUAGGUAGAAGCUGGAGUACCAAGAAACAACAUCGGCAUGUACAGGCAGA